ensembl:lncRNA
UUAUUAAUAAAUAUACAAUACACAUAUAGUUUUUGUACUUGACAAAAAUCAAUGAAAUUAUCAAUUAUAGCUUCAUAGAUUUUAAAAUUAAACACUGGCUCCACCUCUGAAUUUCUAAGUUUGCUGUUUUCAAGGACCUUCAGAGUGCAGAAGGAAAUUUGGUUCGUUGUAUUUCCUUCUUUGUCUCUUCCUGAUUUUGCUUUUAAAAGAUUAGCGAAAUAAUCAACAAUUGCAAGUCGGCAAUAGCAGUUAAUUUGUUCAACUCUCUGGCACGCAGACCUCCUGAGCCGCACGAGGAAAUAGUGCCUGUUUUCUCACAACUGGCUCUUUGCACUCUUCACACGCCUGUGGUGUUGCAUGCCGUUUAAUUGCCUGAAGUUAAUCGCUGCAUUUGAACGCAGCUUUCCCAGCUGUCUGCCUUUAAAUAAUGCUACAGUACAUGUUGUCUGCUAGCAAAGCAUGAAAGGGAGGGAAAAGACCAAACAAAAUGGCAGCCUUCCUGCCGUCUGAAACGAGUGAGCAGUUGAAGGUCAAGACCAUGUGUGAAGAUGAAACCUCAAGAAAGAUGUUGGCCUCCCCAGCAUGAUGGUGGUGUGGUUGAUGCCUGGCAGACGGGGGUCACCAAGGCACGCCAAAAUAAUGGACUGCCAUUGCAAAGGGGCGGGACGGCGGCACCAUGUCUUUGCAUAAAUUAGCAUGUGAACUGCAGGACAUUAACAUUCUGAAUUCCUCUUUGGCCUAAUUAAUGGCAGUGAUUGAAAUGUUUUGGGCUGACAGCGGGGCAGUGUGAAAAAGACUCGGCGGAGAGUCUCAUCAAUUCAGAUACUGGAUCAGUUAAAGAGCUGAGAAAAAAAAAAUAAAAAAUUAUGCACUGCAAAAAAAUAUUUUCUUACGUAGUAUUUUUGUCUUGUUUUCCCAUACAAAUAUCUAAACAUUCUUACAUCAAGAUACAUUCACUUAAUAAGCAAAAUGACUUAAGAUAUUACGUCUUGUUUUCUGAAAAAAAUUAAAUUAUGUGCAUUUAAGUUAAAUGUUGUGCAUCUUCGGUCGGAACUGACCAAAAAAAAAAAUUAAGUUUUGAAUUUGUAUAUUUUUUUGCUUCAUCGGAAUUGGAAGCUAUGUGAACACACAUAAAAUAAUCAUAGACAUGAUUCUGAUAUGUUAAAUGGGUCAAAAAAAAAAAAUUUUAACAACAGGUACAUUUGUGGUCAAAAAUAGCUAAUUAAAUUUUAUAAAUAUUGCGUAAAAUAAUAAUAUUAUUGAACAAAAAUAUAUUACAUUGAUUUUCCUGAAGUUAAAACAAGCAUUUCAAGGCUUCAAAGUUACCAAGUGUGACCCAAAAAUGAAGAGGCCCAGAGGGUUAAAACAAGAAAAAUAUCUGCCAGUGGGGUCAGAAAAAUAAACCUAAUUCAAAGGAAAAACAAGAUUAUUUUUCUGACCUCAUUAGCAGAUUUCUCAUAUCAUGUCAGAUGUUUAUAUCAUGUAAUUUUGCAUCUCAUGUAAAUGUAUCUUGAUUUAAAAAUUUUAGAUGUUUUCCAGAACAAAUAAGACAAAAUCCCUUUUUUGCAGAGUGCAUUUUAAAUGUUUUUAUAGGCUGCAAAUCUGUUAACGAGCAUGUGUGCCAUAUAUAUAUAUAUGACAAUUUGUGUUGAUAGCAGCAGAGUCUGAUGUAAGCAUGUUGCAAAGUUAACUUGCUACAUUAAUGAGGACAAAUAUUGGGUGGAAUUAAUUUUAAAUUAAAUUUUAAGUUUUACUUUUCAGUAUUAUAAAUACUGUAAAUAAUAUGGAGCCCCACACAUGGCAUGCAGGAAAAAAAUAGUAGGCUAAAUUGUGCGCAUGAUUUAGCAAAUCGAGGGAAUGAAAUAGUAAUCGCAUGCACGUUUUAGUACACUGAGGGAAUGAAUUAGUAAAUUGUGCGCACAAUUUAUUUAUUUUUUCUUGCAUGUCAUGCAGGGCUCCAUAAAAUAAAAUGUAUGUUUGUAAUCAGUAUUUCCUUCUGUCUUCCAGCUCAUUGCAGUGCAUUCUGGGAUUGCUUUACUCAUGAAGGACACCAGAUUCUGGCCAAAACAAGGUAGGCUACUUUAUGAAGUCCCUUAAUUCAACUUUUUUUGGAGUGUGCUUAUGAUGCAUAAAAUGUCGUCUAGUUAGGCAGCUCACUAGGUUUGUGUUUAUCUGGUCCCCUGGCCUUGUUUGACAUUUUUCUCGGAUCUCAAAAGGACUAUUUGUUAUUUCAUCACAGUAUAUGGUCCACGUCUCACUGAAGUCCAUGGAUCAUUACACAAAGUAAUGGCUAUGUCAACAUGAGGCUAAAUCUUCAUGUCUUGUGAGAGGUAAUACAUGCAAAGCUACAUAAACAGUAAAAGGCAUUAUAACUAAUAACUCUCUCCUUCACCAGAAAGCAGAUUCACAUAUGUAUAACUCAUCAUAUCUGCGAUUCAACAUAUUUGGCAAUGAGAUAUUUGUGAUAAGAUGGUGAAAACUAGAACAUGUUUGUCAGUGGAAGUGGUUUAGUUAAACGCAAAGGUAUUCGUUUUUAUGUCACCUCUGCUGUCAACAUUUCCUCAAGUGUUUACAUCAACUAAAUGUAUUUCAUUUUAACUUUCAUUUAGCUGUAGAAUGCAAAUAGAAUAUAAUUUUGCACACAACAUGCCACUUAUUUUCUUCAGAUUUUUUUCUGAUCUUUUUUAUAUAAACAGUGAAAAAAAAAAAAAAAAAAUAUAUAUAUACAUGGAUUGCAUUUUUAUGUGUUUUAACUGAUAGAUCCAGACAAAAAAGCAUAAUGUCAUUUACCCAUGUACAAAAUUUGAUUUAGGUUUAAGGUUGGGAAACCCCAUGAGCUAUUAGAGUACUG